rnacentral:misc_RNA from 1 species
CAACUUCCACCUGGCUUACCUCCNUCAUUUAUGCGUCAUGACUUGUAUCGUCUUGAGCGUAUUGUGGGUUUCCUGUGUUGCAUACCUUUCUAAUGGUAUCGUGUUGAUUGAUCGAAGUCCCUUUUCAUCUUGUGUUGCUUUUUGCGACGCAUGAUGAACCUCGAGGCAGUCUUUAUGUUCCACCACGUUGAUGCUACUGUUUCGAUGUUGUGGCCCAUUGAGCGUUGCUUGGUUUCGUGGAUACAGAACAUGAUUUGGGCAUAGGGUUACUUGUGACUCUUGUUCUGUCCUUUAUCAGUGUUCUUUAUAACGACGGUUCAUGCGCGCCUAGGCUCGUACCUGCGCGAUGUUCUUUGUCGAAGAGGAAUGCUACCUGGUUGAUCCUGCCAGUAGUCAUAUGCUUGUCUCAAAGAUUAAGCCAUGCAUGUGUAA